GCCUGAGUUGAGUCAGUCUGUGAAAGCAGUUUGAAGUCGAAAGGUAAUUGUUGGAGUUUCUUAUUUGUGCUGAUAUUGUAGUGGAAGUCAAGAGAGUGUUCUUGGCAACAGUUAUUCUACCACCUUCAAAGCAGACGGUGAGAGGCAACCAAGUAGUGUCGUGACCGGAUAACAGGAAAUGAACAUUCUAAGUCUGUAACGAGUAUCAUCAAUCAAGAAAAUGCCUGCAGACAUAGCCGUUGCUGGUUGUAGCACUUACCUUCAAGAUCCUUCAACUGACAGCUCAUACUGGAACCCAGAGACCAUGAGCGGAAGUAUGACCCUCGUUGGACCUGGGAAGCAUUGUCAGUCGGUACAGGUGAAAGUGUACAGGACGUCGUUGGAACACUUUGCCGUACUGUACCCACAGAAGAAGGUCUGUAGACCUCUGGGAGUUCUCAACCUGAGGAACACGUGCGUCGAGAGGCUACCCGUAGGAAAACAGUCCGGUUUCAUGGUACGACAGCGCGGUUUUGACACGCCAAUGUGUCUCACCUUCCUCAGCGAAUCGCCCCGUGACCUGGACUCUUGGGUGGUGGCUUUCACAUCCAGGAAUUCGCCGACAGUCCACCAGUCUUCUCUACCUAUUGUUGAAGAAGACGAGGAAGUCUAAGAAUUGAACUCUUGAGGGGGUAAAUUGAAUCCCUUAUCGUCAUUCUAAUCGUCGAAGUGCAGAAGUAUUUUCAUCAUCAGAUCAUCGCAUGGUACACCGAGGUUGCCACCGCCAACAUCAUCAUCGCUGUACGCCUCAGUAAGAUUGAUUUCUAACGUGUGGAAAAUCCACACCAUUUUCCUUGACACUAAUGUUUCUGUGUACAAUAGGCCACUACGUUGUCUCCUUCUUCCAUAAACACCCUGUAUAUUCUAAAUCCUCUCGUGGCUUGCGUGUAUCCACAGCGAUGGAAUCAAUAUAGCAAGUUUCCAUUGGAUGAACACUUUGUGACGUGGGGAGCAAAAGUUUAAGAUGGCUGGGACGCGCAAACAGAACGCAGGUCUUGAAGGAGAUUUUUCUGAAGUGACUUCAAUCUCUCUUACGAACAAUGAAAGUAUAAAAAAGGAACAGUUUACCCCCCACCUGUGUGAGGACAUUUUAAUGAUUUAGAUGUUAUUGUCAGUGCAAUAUUAUAAUUAGAAUGAACGAAAGAAUGAAUGAUUAUGUGUGCAUGUAUGUGGAAAAGUUAUUGAGUGAUCUUUAUUUUUUAUAUAUGGGCAAGUUACCUUAUAUUUAUUAAUAAAGAUACAAAAGAAACUAAAUGUAAAAUCGGACUAUGUCGCAGUAAACGUUUUAUGACUGAUUUUACGAAAGUUUCAGUUGUUUUAAAAAAAAAAUUAGCUACGUAACCAAAGUUGAAGAAGGGGAGGUAUUAUAUUUGAGUUUUUUCACAGCCGACGAGAGCACGACUUGAGAUGGGUGCAACUGAGAAAAAUGGAUGUUAUUUUUUUGUUUUUAUGACCUAUGUCAUGCCCACAUAUGGCAGUUGAUUUUUAAUGUAAUAUUCCCCAGUCUGUUAAGGGAACACGUAUAAUUGCGAGUGCUGUGUGUUUGAUUUGCACAACACGGGGCCAGAGUUAUAUUCCUUUACAACAGAACUGCACAUAUAUUUAAGUUUUGAUUUUUUUUUUACAUAGUGAUAUAAUUUACUUUUUAUAUACGUAAUUCUUGGUGUUUUAUAUCACGAACAAAGUAGGCAGAUGAGAAAACCGAUUUUGAGUUAAAUUUUAAUAUCAUUAUGAUACGAUACGAUACGUUACGUUUAUAUUUUAGAAUACAAUAUUUAUUUGCAUAACUGAAAACAUUUCACGGAAAUUAUUUAUUGAGAACUAUGUUAUUGUGUUUUCUAUUGUGAUAUUUUAUUCGUGUGCUAUCCAAAUGGAACUAGCUGCUUUUGUGUAACAAUAUCAAUCUUUAGAUUCAUGCAUUGUAAAACAAACGACUAUCAGUUACCAAUAUAUGUUUGCCAAAAGGUAAAUUGCACAGUAAAUGUAAUUUUGAAGUUAUAUUAAUACAUUGUUAUUUGAGUACUGUCACAGAUACAAACUUUAACUCUAAUUAGACGUCUGGUUUCAGCAACACAACAAUGGUUCUGAUUUUUAAAAUGCCACGAAUCUCAGGAGAAACUGCAGCAUUACAUAUAAUAAAUUCUGAAGUGUGAUUAUGAUGUAUAUGGUCGUAUGUUCAACGUAACAAUGUCUAUAUAAAAAAAAAACCGAAUGUAUAGUCGUAUACAGGUGAAUACUUGUCUGUGGUAGAAAAUGUCCCUGUCGUAUACCUAAUGUUUUCCAUAUUAAUAAACUUUUAAAAUAUUGUA